CAAGAGGGAGGCUUCCAGAAGACAACAAAAGUCCAUGAAGAACAGGGCACUUCUCAGCAACCCUCAAGGAGGCAAUCGAACUAAAGCUUGAAAACUAUGGGGUCACUGAGAGAAGGAGCCUGAAGAGAGAAAAGGAUGAAGGACCCAAAAAAGACUAACAUUUAACAGAUGGGAUGUGAAACAGAACCAGGACAUCAUGUUCAUUUCCUCCAGAGGAUGCAGCUAUAAAACGCCAUCUUGGAAGCGAGACUGGGCUCUCAGCAGACACCAAACCUUCAUCUGGGACUUCCCAGCCUCCAGAACUGUGAGGAAUAAAUUUCUGUUAUUUAUAAAUUACUCAGUCUGUGGCACUGUGUUACAGCAGCACAAACAGACUAAGGCAAUAUUCUACAAUGGCAAGGGAUGGUAUGCUAGAGCAGCCUUUCCCAAACGGUGCUCAAAUGUGCAUGUAGUUGAUGCUGGAAAAGAAAGAAAACAAAAGCUAUUCCAAGGUCAAUGAGUUUGAGAAAUGUUGGAUUAAUUAAAGCCGAACCAGCUUCUUUCUUGUAGAACUUCGGUUGUAUAAAAUAAUUCCAAGAGGGAAUUAUUAUAUGCUGGGACACGAUUUGGGGAAGUCUAUGCUACUGAAAACAGGCAGAAAUAGCAGGCAAAACAACAACCUAAAAUCACAAUUUAUUUAACUGCUUUGAUUUCCUGUACUCUUUUAAAACAUUUAACUCAAAUGUUGCUUGUAACUUAGCCAGUAUCAAUCCCUGUUUUCUGUUGCCACAUUUAAACACUGGAAACAAAUGCAUCAAAAUGCUUGCUAUCUUUUUAUCCCUUGCAGAUGUCCUUGCUCCCUGGUAAAGAAACCACUGGAAUGUUGCCAUUUUAAUUAGGCUUAGCUACAAAAAAAGCCUUAAUCUGCCAUUGAGAUGUAUAUUUGCUUGUUUUAUUAAAGCUUAGAGGAGGGGGAAAGGUGGUUUUCCAUUUAUGGAAAUUAUGUAAUAAUACAGAUACACUUAUUCCAAGAUAGUUUUUUACAACUUGGAGUGAAUAUGAAAUACAAUUGAUGAUUUUGAAGCUCUUCCCAAAAUAAAGAACACUUUUAUUUUAUGGUAUUUUUAAUAACCAGAAUUUUUUCCAUCAUUAUUAAGUGAUUACUUUUUGGAACAGUGUCAAAAAGAACCUCCCAUUCCUAUAUCAGAUAUUUUAUUAUUAUAAUAUCACCUUCCCUUAAUUAAGGAGAAAUCAAACUAAGAAAACAGCUUUUAUGAGUGUUAUUGG